rnacentral:rRNA from 1 species
GGAGACGCCGAAUCAACCUGGGGUUCGGAUCUGCGUUUCUCCCAUAGGUGACCUCCUGGUGAUGCUUUCGUUGCCACCGGUGCACCUUCCGUGGGAUGGGGAGUCAAAUCUCUCUCACAUGUGAUUCACACGCUCAUAAAUUAAUACUAUUGACAUCUUACCUCUAGGCUUCGGAUAUAACUAUUCAACACCGCAAUCUCUUGG